rnacentral:rRNA from 1 species
AACGAACCGUCCAAACGUUAUUCGGAAUCACUGGGCUUAAAGAGUUCGUAGGCGGUCUGGAAAGUUGGGUGUGAAAUCCCUCGGCCUAACCGAGGAACUGCGCUCAAAACUACCAGACUCGAGGGAGAUAGAGGAAAGCGGAACUGAUGGUGGAGCGGUGAAAUGCGUUGAUAUCAUCAGGAACACCGGUGGCGAAGGCGGCUUUCUGGGUCUUACCUGACGCUGAGGACCGAAAGCUAGGGGAGCGAACGGG